UUUCCUUCGCAGAGCAAUGCCCAACCAACAGACUGGUCAGGACAAAGUAGCAUUUUUUAAAUGAAAAGUAGUAUUGUUUCAAAAGAUUAGUGAGAAGCUGCCUUAAUAGAAGACAAUGGAUUUUUGUAUCUGUUUCUGCAUUCAGUUGGUUGCGAUAUGUUGUUUUGGUUGAAUUAUGAAGAAAAUCCAUCCCCACACAUAAUUUAGUUGGCAAAAGGAGGAGUAUUUCUAUAGCCUUUCCAGAUAACUGUGGUUAUUCUUCUUUGGUACUACACAAAGGUAACAAACGGUGGUUUUGUGAAAGUUAGUUGUAGUGUGGAAUCUGAAAUGAUAUCAGGUAACCGUUCAUACUUUGUUACAGUAAAGUCCGUUGGUCUAUCUUUUACUCUUUUUUUUUGCAUGACAAAGUCUUUACUAUUAAAUGUUUAUCAGUAUACCAAAUAAUAACAUGUAACAGUUCUUAAAUUCUAUCAUCUAGAAUUUUGAUUAAGAGAUACUAAAAGCAGCUCUAACAAUUAAACUAGAAUUCAUUGCCCUAACCUUAACGAGAAAAGACAAUUUUAAGACUGGUUGCUGCUUUACACAGAUUACAAACAACUACUUACUGCUUUUUCACAGAUAAAACCCUUGACCUUCCAGAAAGCUUUAGGGGGAAAAAUACAUAUAUUUAAUCCCUUUCUUUCUUUAAAAGAAAUGUUUCUUACUGUAUCUAAGAAAAAUUAGUAUUGUCAUAUAUAUAUAUAUAUUUUUUUUUUUUUUGCUUGGGCUAAAAGGCAUAGAAAAAACAGAUAAUGUAUGCCCAUUAAAUUUCUAAG